GAGGGUAUAGCUCAGAGGUAGAGCGCUUGCCUAGCAUGUAGGAGGCCCUGGGUUCCAUCCCCAGCACCCUCC
rnacentral:tRNA from 1 species